rnacentral:tRNA from 1 species
GUGAGUGUAGUUCAGUGGUUAGAGCGCCAGAUUGUGAUUCUGGAUGUCGUGGGUUCGAAUCCCAUCAUUCACCCCA